GGCUCAGAACGAACGCUGGCGGCGUGCUUAACACAUGCAAGUCGAACGCGAAAGGGACUUCGGUCCUGAGUAAAGUGGCGCACGGGUGAGUAACGCGUAGAUAACCUGUCUUCAUGUCUGGAAUAAUACGCCGAAAGGGGUACUAAUACCGGAUAUUCUUGCUUUUCAUAAGUUAUGCAAGCAAAGGUGGCCUCUGCAUAUGCUACUGCAUGAAGAGGGGUCUGCGUACCAUUAGCUAGUAGGUGGGGUAAUGGCCUACCUAGGCGACGAUGGUUAGCGGGUCUGAGAGGAUGAUCCGCCACACUGGCACUGGAACACGGGCCAGACUCCUACGGGAGGCAGCAGUGAGGAAUAUUGCGCAAUGGGGGAAACCCUGACGCAGCGACGCCGCGUGAAGUGAGGAAGGCCUUCGGGUCGUAAAGCUCUGUCAAGAGGAAAGAAGUGUACAAUGGCUAAUACCUGUUGUAUUUGACGGUACCUCUAAAGGAAGCACCGGCUAACUCCGUGCCAGCCGCGGC
rnacentral:rRNA from 1 species